UACGAAGGGGGCUAGCGUUGUUCGGAAUUACUGGGCGUAAAGCGUGCGCAGGCGGUGAUGUAAGACAGGUGUGAAAUCCCCGGGCUUAACCUGGGAACUGCAUUUGUGACUGCAUCGCUGGAGUGCGGCAGAGGGGGAUGGAAUUCCGCGUGUAGCAGUGAAAUGCGUAGAUAUCUGGAGGAACACCGGUGGCGAAGGCGGCAUCCUGGACCAACACUGACGCUGAGGAGCGAAAGCCAGGGGAGCAAACGGG
rnacentral:rRNA from 1 species